rnacentral:rRNA from 5 species
AGACCCGAAACCCGGUGAUCUAGCCAUGGGCAGGUUGAAGGUUGGGUAACACUAACUGGAGGACCGAACCGACUAAUGUUGAAAAAUUAGCGGAUGACCUGUGGCUGGGGGUGAAAGGCCAAUCAAACCGGGAGAUAGCUGGUUCUCCCCGAAAGCUAUUUAGGUAGCGCCUCGUGAAUUCAUCUCCGGGGGUAGAGCACUGUUUCGGCUAGGGGGCCAUCCCGGCUUACCAACCCGAUGCAAACUGCGAAUACCGGAGAAUGUUAUCACGGGAGACACACGGCGGGUGCUAACGUCCGUCGUGAAGAGGGAAACAACCCAGACCGCCAGCUAAGGUCCCAAAGUCAUGGUUAAGUGGGAAACGAUGUGGGAAGGCCCAGACAGCCAGGAUGUUGGCUUAGAAGCAGCCAUCAUUUAAAGAAAGCGUAAUAGCUCACUGGUCGAGUCGGCCUGCGCGGAAGAUGUAACGGGGCUAAACCAUGCACCGAAGCUGCGGCAGCGACGCUUAUGCGUUGUUGGGUAGGGGAGCGUUCUGUAAGCCUGCGAAGGUGGCCUGUGAGGGUUGCUGGAGGUAUCAGAAGUGCGAAUGCUGACAUAAGUAACGAUAAAGCGGGUGAAAAGCCCGCUCGCCGGAAGACCAAGGGUUCCUGUCCAACGUUAAUCGGGGCAGGGUGAGUCGACCCCUAAGGCGAGGCCGAAAGGCGUAGUCGAUGGGAAACGGGUUAAUAUUCCCGUACUUGGUGUUACUGCGAAGGGGGGACGGAGAAGGCUAUGUUGGCCGGGCGACGGUUGUCCCGGUUUAAGCGUGUAGGUGUGUGUUCCAGGUAAAUCCGGUUCACUUUAACACUGAGGCGUGACGACGAGGCACUACGGUGCUGAAGCAACAAAUGCCCUGCUUCCAGGAAAAGCCUCUAAGCAUCAGGUAACAUCAAAUCGUACCCCAAACCGACACAGGUGGUCAGGUAGAGAAUACCAAGGCGCUUGAGAGAACUCGGGUGAAGGAACUAGGCAAAAUGGUGCCGUAACUUCGGGAGAAGGCACGCUGACACGUAGGUGAAGUGAUUUACUCAUGGAGCUGAAGUCAGUCGAAGAUACCAGCUGGCUGCAACUGUUUAUUAAAAACACAGCACUGUGCAAACACGAAAGUGGACGUAUACGGUGUGACGCCUGCCCGGUGCCGGAAGGUUAAUUGAUGGGGUCAGCGCAAGCGAAGCUCCUGAUCGAAGCCCCGGUAAACGGCGGCCGUAACUAUAACGGUCCUAAGGUAGCGAAAUUCCUUGUCGGGUAAGUUCCGACCUGCACGAAUGGCGUAAUGAUGGCCAGGCUGUCUCCACCCGAGACUCAGUGAAAUUGAACUCGCUGUGAAGAUGCAGUGUACCCGCGGCAAGACGGAAAGACCCCGUGAACCUUUACUAUAGCUUGACACUGAACAUUGAGCCUUGAUGUGUAGGAUAGGUGGGAGGCUUUGAAGUGUGGACGCCAGUCUGCAUGGAGCCGACCUUGAAAUACCACCCUUUAAUGUUUGAUGUUCUAACGUGGACCCGUUACCCGGGUUGCGGACAGUGUCUGGUGGGUAGUUUGACUGGGGCGGUCUCCUCCUAAAGAGUAACGGAGGAGCACGAAGGUUGGCUAAUCCUGGUCGGACAUCAGGAGGUUAGUGCAAUGGCAUAAGCCAGCUUGACUGCGAGCGUGACGGCGCGAGCAGGUGCGAAAGCAGGUCAUAGUGAUCCGGUGGUUCUGAAUGGAAGGGCCAUCGCUCAACGGAUAAAAGGUACUCCGGGGAUAACAGGCUGAUACCGCCCAAGAGUUCAUAUCGACGGCGGUGUUUGGCACCUCGAUGUCGGCUCAUCACAUCCUGGGGCUGAAGUAGGUCCCAAGGGUAUGGCUGUUCGCCAUUUAAAGUGGUACGCGAGCUGGGUUUAGAACGUCGUGAGACAGUUCGGUCCCUAUCUGCCGUGGGCGCUGGAGAACUGAGGGGGGCUGCUCCUAGUACGAGAGGACCGGAGUGGACGCAUCACUGGUGUUCGGGUUGUCAUGCCAAUGGCACUGCCCGGUAGCUAAAUGCGGAAGAGAUAAGUGCUGAAAGCAUCUAAGCACGAAACUUGCCCCGAG